rnacentral:rRNA from 1 species
UGGGGGAAUAUUGGGCAAUGGACGCAAGUCUGACCCAGCAACGCCGCGUGAAGGAAGAAGGCUUUCGGUUGUAAACUUCUUUUAAGAGGGAAGAGCAGAAGACGGUACCUCUUGAAUAAGCCACGGCUAACUACGUGCCAGCAGCCGCGGUAAUACGUAGGUGGCAAGCGUUGUCCGGAUUUACUGGGUGUAAAGGGCGUGCAGCCGGGCCGGCAAGUCAGAUGUGAAAUCCCCAGGCUCAACCUGGGAACUGCAUUUGAAACUGUUGGUCUUGAGUAUCGGAGAGGUAAUCGGAAUUCCUUGUGUAGCGGUGAAAUGCGUAGAUAUAAGGAAGAACACCAGUGGCGAAG